UGGUCUGUCCUUCCUCUGAGUUCUAGUUGGGGUUCAGCCAUUCUGGGGGAACUGGAGCAUCAGCCUAAAGGAACCCAGAAAAGUCUUCAGGUGGUGUGCACUCUUCUGUCAGUUCUGGCGCUCCCUCUCUGCCAUCAAAUCAAAUGGCAGUUCCAAGGACCUGAAUAGUUGGAAUCCCACUGGGACCUCUGGAAAAUGGUAUGGCAGUUACACUUAACAAGAGACCAAGCAUCACUCAGAGGGUUGGAGAAUCUGGGUUUUUUAUACUGGCAGACCCAGAUGAGGUGGUGCUCUGAAGAUCUGGGCCCUGAGCUGAGGUAACAUGGGGCUUUUAUAGGAAAUUUGACAUCAUUUCUUAACCAUUACAACAUUGGUGGGCUUGGGUUCUUGGUCUACAUGACCAAAGACCAUGCACAGGGAAUUUACGAUAAGUAGUUCCCAGGUGUAGAACAAAGACAUUAAACACCUGUGUCACUGUGAAAUGGCCUUCACCAUAGGGAGCAAUAACUCAAGAUGACUUGAGUUCAUCUCCCUAACAGCUAAAGUUCUAAGAAUUAAAUCAAUAAGAUUUUAGUUUAGUCAGCAGUUAAGUGGCAUAGUAAUGUAUAAUUUAUACUAGCAGUUAAGUGGUGUAGCUAUAUUCCUACAGAGUUUAGAAAGGUACAAAGUAUAGUAAAAUCAACCCUUUCCAUAGGCUUUGGUUUUUCAUCAUUGUUCUUAUAUCUUCAUUUUAUAAUCAAGUCUGGUAUCUGUCACACCACCUUUCAAUUUUGCUUUUCCUUUACUGCCUCCUUUUUGUGUUGUGAGGAGACCAGGAAUCACUGCCAAGCUCCUUUCAGUCAUCUUCUCCAUUUAUUUAAGGCUGUGAAGUCUUCACAACUGGUGCAGCAUUGUCUCCUAAAAACAAUCAUGUAAUCUUGGAACGGGAUUCUUCCCACUGAGAUAUCAGGAAGACUUGGUCUCUGCCAUUAUCUACAUCUGGAUUCUUGACAUGAGGAACUCCAAAUUGCUGUGAUCACUACCUCUGGCACAAUUUUGAGUAGAAGUGGGCCUUGCUGAGAAUCUCACUGAGUUGCUGAGUCUGGCAUCAAAAUUGUGAUCCUUCUGCUUCAGCCUCCUGAGUUACUGUAAUUACAGAUGAAAGGUAAAUGGAGUUGGUCAACUUACAUGAAAUUAUAUUUUAGAAUAUUUUCUCAGUAAUUGAUAAUAUGGCAGAUGAGACAUCAUAAAGCCUAGAAUCAUGAGAAAUGGUCAGUCACAGAGAAAGUGAAGUAUUCCAUCAAUCCUACCAGAAGUGGUUUCUAUAGAUUGGAAAGAAACAAGCCUCUCAAGAAAUGCCCAAUCACCAGUGAUUCUGAUUAACAGAAAGAAUGAUAAGAUGGGCAACAUCAUUGGUAAACAUAGGAGUGAUUCAAGAUAAAUAUCUACAUUACCCUUAUUACAUUCACCACCAUGUUACUCUGGAAUGAAGAAACAAAGAGUACAAAAGUGCCAAUCUGCAUGUACAGCAAUUUUUCCAGUGACCCAAGAGAAGGGAUCACAGAUCCCAAUGAGAAGUGGACAGCAUGCCCCACAGUGUUUUUAGGAAGUCAGACAUAAACCCCACAAAACAGGAACAGUGAGAAAAGAGAGAAACAAGAGACACCAGUGUGCUAUAGCCUUCAUGUGGCACAGGAUAUUUUGAGCAUGUUUCUCAAGGAGAGUCAUAAUUGGUGAGUUCCAGGAAGCAAACACAUUUUACAUGGAAUCACACUGUAUAUGAGAAUGGGUCACUGGAAUAUCUCAUCAUCCUUGUAGGAAAUUGGAGCCAGCAGACCUGUAAACUGCCACAUCUACCUGUCCCCAGGAAGUUGUCACCAUGAGGUGGUUUUAUGAAGUGAUGCAAGAUUAAUAAAUAUAUACAUUACUAUAAGCUCAUACUAGCAAUUUGUUUUAUUCAUAUGUGAAGCAGUUUUUGUAGUUCUUUUCCUCCUCUAAGCUCUUUAGAGGAAGAGAAAGAGAACUACAAACUGUUUCAUGGAUGUCUAUACCAAAUUUUUGGUAUGAGCAAAUUAGAUAUGUAUGCAAAAAUGUAUGUCAAGGCAAUGUAAAAUUAUUAGAAUUCACUGCAGUUAAACUUGAAAUUCUAGUAGUUCACUAAUAACUCCAUCUUUAUUCCUGAUGGAAGGUAAAUAACAUUGGUCAAUUUAUAUAAAACCAUAUUUUAGAAUGUUUUCUCAAUAAUAGAUAAUAAUAUGGCAGAUGAGUCUUAAUAAAUAAUAGAAUUACUGAGAAAUGGUAAGUUUCAGAGAAAAGUAAAGUAUUCCAUUGAUCCAAUAGUGUACAUUUUCCUUUCUUUCCAAUAAAGAUACAUCUUGAAAUUGACAGUGUAGGAACACUGUUGGCUAGAAAGCUUAUGGUGAUUGUGAUAGUGCUCAGAUGCACAUACAUAAAUUUAGUCUAAAAAUCUUGUUUGUUAAAAAUUAAAUUAUAAAUCAUGUUAACUUAUGACUACACACACACACACACACACAAAUCUCUUCUGUUGUCACCUUCUGGUGACUGUAACUUUAAAACAUGUAGAAACAGUGUCCAUAGAGUAGAAAGAAUUUUGGAGAAUAUAGCAUAAGUCUCUCAAGAAUAGGCUUGGGAGGCUGAGACAGGAGGAUUAUGAGUUCAAAGCCAGCCUCAGCAAAAGUGAGGCACUAAGCAAGUCAGUGAAACCCUGUCUCUAAAUGAUAUAUAAAACAAGGCUAGGGAUGUGGCUCGGUAUUUAAGUGUCCCUGGGUUCAAUCCCUGGUAUCCAAAAAAAAAAAAAAAAAAGCCCAAUCACCUGUGCUUCUGAUUAAUAGAGAUAAUGGUUAAGACAGGAAUUGUCAUGGGAAAGAUGAGUCAAAAUGUGGUUCAUGAGAGUUUCAUCUCAAUGAGGAAUAUUAGAAUACCUUUAUUAAUAUUAUAUAUAAUAAUAUGUCUUUCUGUUUUUCAUGCAAUCAUAGGAGAUACAAAAGAUAAAUAACUACGUUAUUAUAAGCUCAAACUGGUUAUUUUGAAUAAAUUUUAGAUAAAAAUUCUAAGUUACCUUGGCAAUGUGGUGCAUGUCUGUAAUUUCAGCAACUUGGGAAACUGAGAUACAAUCAUAUGUUUAAGGCCAGCCUGAGCAAUUUAAACGCUAUCUCAACAUAAAAAAUAGAAAAGGACUGGGAUUAUAAUUCAGUAUUAGAGUACCUUCUGCAUGUUUACUGAAAAAAAAAGUUAUAAAAGUUACCUGUCUGGUUUUAAAAGUUUUAUUCUUUCAUUGUUAAUGAAAUGCAUUUUUACAUUUGAUACAAAUGAUAUAUAUUGCAGUUAGAAAAAACUGUCACUAUGUCAUGCAAUCUAAUUCUAAAUGUCAGCAAAAGCCCCACAAGAAAGAAAAGGGAGACUCUUGAGAUUAAUUCAUUCUUUGUCUAUUUUUGCUCACUUUGACUAUGUUAGAUAAUUUUUCUUUUAUAUGGAUACUUCCUCCUAGAUUUAGCUUAAUAAUUAUUACCCACAAAGUCAUAAUUACUACCACAAAGUCAUGAAUUUAUUUUGCUAAAUUUUAUACUAAAUGAUGCAUUGAACUGUUUUUACAUUUAGGUAUAGGUCUCUGAUCCACCUAGAAAUUAUGUUCUCUGAUUUAUGAAUUUGGAGGGGUUUUUGUUUUUGUUUUUUUCUUUUUCUUUUUCCUGAUCGAUUAUCAAUACCUUAUGUUAUGCUUUGAAAAUUAAUUAAUAUUAAUGGUAAUAAUUAUUGAGUUAAUAAUAAAUGAAUAAUAGUAUUUCUUGAGAUUACUUUCUUUACAUGUUCAUAUAUCAGUUUUGAGCAUUCUUUUUAAAAGUUGUUGAUUAUAUUUGUGAAUAAUAACUAUCUUUUACUAAGCAAUUUAUUUAACACAACAAUUUUCUUUCCAGUGCUUAUUAUAUUAAGCACCGUGUAACUCUGGAAUGAAGGAACAAAGAGUACACAACUGCCACUCUGCAUUUACAAUAAUUGUUCCAGCAAUCCAAGAGAAGGGAUCACAGUUUUUCUUCCAGGGCUUAUUAUAUUAACCACCAUGUUACUCUGGAAUGAAGAAAGAAAUAGUACAAAACUGCCACUCUGCAUCUGCAGCAAUUUUUCCAGCAACCUAAGAGAAGGGAUCACAGCUCCCAGUGAGAAGAGGGCAACAUGCACCUCAGAGUUUAUGGGAAAUCAAGAAGUGAGACAAAACCCAUAAAACAGGAGCAGUGAGAAAACAGAGAAAUAGGAGAUACAGAGCUUAUUAUAUUAAGCACUAUGUUACCUAGAAUGAAGAAACAAAAAGUACAAAACUCCCACUCUGCAUCUCCAGCAAUUUUUCCAGUGACCCAAGAGAAGGGAUCACAGAGCUUAUUACAUUAACCACCAUGUUACUCUGAAUGAAGAAACAAAGAGUACAAAAUGUCCAAUCUGCAUGUUCAGCAAUUUUUCCAGUGACCCAAGAGAAGGGAUCACAGGUAAAUGACAAAGGUCAGGUGGGCAGGAUCAGGCAUGCCAGAAUCUCACUAAGUUAUUCAGGACUUCCCUAAAGUGCUGAGACUGGCUUUGAACUUGUGAUCUUCUUCCCUCAUCUUCCUGAGACCCUGGUAUUACAGGUUUUUGGUCACAGUGAUGCAAAAGCUUAUCGAAAUGAUGAGAUGCUUCUUUAUCCUGGUGGAUGUCCUCAUGCCACUAUGUCUCACCCAUGUCAAGAUUCAUUCACGUAGAAGGUAAACAGAGUUGGUCUGUUUAUAUGAAACCAUAUUUUAAGCCUCUCAAGAAAUCCCCAAUCACAGAUUCUUCUGAUUAACAGAGAUAAUGCUUAUUAUAUUAAGCACCAUGUUACUCUGGAAUGAAGAAACAAAGAGUACAAAACUGCCACUCUGCAUGUACAUCAAUUUUUCCAGCGACCUAAGAGAAGAGAUCACAGUGUUUACAGCCAGAGGAUUCAGCCCUGGGUAUCUCUGCACAAGCUCAGAGGAUUCCACAUACACAGUCCUUCUCCUCCAUACCAUGUCCACCCAGGUUGGGUCCACAGUGGAAACUGAUAAUAAAUUGGCUGAAUUCAACAAUGAAAUUCACCUCACUCGGUAAAUGUCUACAUGCCAUCUUCUUGUGCAGAUUGUGCACGACUGUGUGUGUAUAUACAUAUAUUUUUUUUCUAGCUUAAUUUCAUUGUGUUUUAAAAGUGCACAUUGAUUAAUGAUUUAUAUUUUUUACUUUUUAUAUUUUUUUAUUUGUUCUUUAUAUUUAC